UACGGAGGGUGCAAGCGUUAUCCGGAUUCACUGGGUUUAAAGGGUGCGUAGGCGGGUAUAUAAGUCAGUGGUGAAAGCUCCGGGCUUAACUUGGAAACUGCCAUUGAUACUGUAUAUCUUGAAUGUCGUUGAGGUAAGCGGAAUGUUGCAUGUAGCGGUGAAAUGCUUAGAUAUGUUACAGAACACCAAUUGUGAAGACAGCUUACUAAGCGAUGAUUGACGCUGAGGCACGAAAGCGUGGGGAGCAAACAGG
rnacentral:rRNA from 1 species